rnacentral:rRNA from 1 species
GACGAACGCUGGCGGCGUGCUUAACACAUGCAAGUCGAACGGCAAGGCACUGCGUUUGUGCGGUUCUCGAGGGCGGAAGGCGGGAGGAACAGGUGUGUAACCUGACCUUGUCUUUGGGAUAACUUAAGGAAACGGGGGUUAAUACCGGAUAGGAGCCCCUGCAGCAUGGUGGGGGGUGGAACGUCUCGGCGUGUGGGGAUGGACUGGCGGCUUAUCGGCUUGCUGGUGGGGUAGUGGCUUACCAAGGCUUUGACGGGUAGCCGGCCUGAGAGGGUGACCGGCCACAUUGGGACUUAGAUGCGGCCGAGACUCCUACGGGAGGAAGCAGUGGGGAAUAUUGCACAAUGCGCGGCAGGUGGAUGCAGCAACGCCGCGUGCUGGAUAGCGCCCUUCGGGUUAUAAACCGGUUGCGCCUGUAAAGAAGCGUGAGUUAAGGUAACGGGUAAAGAAGGACCGGCCAAAUACGGG